rnacentral:tRNA from 1 species
UUGAAUAAAUCUAAUUCUUUAGAAUUUAAUUUCGACUUAAAUUUAAGAUUAAUAUUUUAAUCUAUUCAAC